UACGUAGGGGGCAAGCGUUGUCCGGAAUCAUUGGGCGUAAAGAGCGUGUAGGUGGCUCGGUAAGUCCGCUGUGAAAGUCCAGGGCUCAACCCUGGAAUGCCGGUGGAAACUGUCGAGCUAGAGUCCGGAAGAGGCGAGUGGAAUUCCUGGUGUAGCGGUGAAAUGUGCAGAUAUCAGGAGGAACACCAAUGGCGAAGGCAGCUCGCUGGGACGGUACUGACACUGAGACGCGAAAGCGUGGGGGAGCAAACAGG
rnacentral:rRNA from 1 species